ACUCAAUUUUUGGAAAAAAGUAUAAUUCUUAGUUCAAAUGGCAUCAUUUGUAUGUUGUUUCAUUCAUUAUCGCUUAUCUUGUCAACAUGCUACCCUGAUGGAUUCCAGCAUCCCCUGGAACUAUCUUUUAAGGCUAUAGUUUUAGGGACAGUCAAAAGGUUGGGAUCAGAUGUGUUUUACAAGGUAAACAAUUGAGGAUACUUUCUGAUACUCUUGGUGCCAAGAUGGAGGAACAGGCAGGGGAGGGUUAUAUUAAGUUGCUAAUUCAUAUAUUUUCUCUACUUGGAAGAGUUGCUUUUGGUCUUUCUCAUUGACAUCACUGGGAGCUUUGGAAUGCAAAUUGGGACAGGCUGUAGGGCUGUGAGAGAUUUGUUGUAGAGGAAGGGGGAAAGGUGUUUGUAUUUUGGUUUGGCAGAUCCUCUCAGAAUUCAUAGGGGACUUUUAAAGCAGGCCCAAUUUCGGAGAGGAACUAGGGGUGGAGGGCAAGAGGCUGGCAAAGUGGUGGAGGCUCACAAAAAUGGUUUGUUUUAGAGAAAGGGGACUGAGGGUUUUAAAAGAAAAGGUUUCCUAGACUCUAGUUGCUAACUAGUUCCUAAAAUCAUUGGGGUCCUGUGUAGGAUGAGAUUCAGUGUAUAAUUCUCAGAGUAGUAUUUGGCUUGUAACCCCAUUUUUAAGACCCCUUAGAAUUACCAUUCCUUGGAGUAGGGCUGCAUCCCCCUCCUAAAUUUCUUACUUUUCCUGACCCUUUUUCAAAAACCUUGAGAAAAGUUUAUCUGUAGCCUAGGAAAAAGGCCAACUAUGUGAUAAACUGAAGAAGUAAAGAACAGUGAGUUUCAAUUGUAUCUUCACUGUCCUAGGCUGAGAAUCUCAUGAGAGUCAGGUAUUUUGAAAUGUUGAAAAUCAUGCACAAAAGCCUUGAAAUGUCAUAGCCCCACCUUCUGUGGGAUUGAACAGGGAGAAGGAGGAGAAUCUUGUGUCAGGAUUAUUAGAAAACUCUGUGAUUGUACCUAGAAAGAAAGAGGAUAUUUUUGCCAAGCAGCUUGUGUGGGCAGAAUCUCUUUUCUUUCCCUUCCCCUCCUUUUUCCCCACACCCUUUUCUCUGCCAGCAUCUUGUCAAGUCUCCUAUCUGCUCAUUAGAGUGAUUUCUGUGGGCGCAAGCUCCCCCAAAAUUCCACUCCACACAGGUACCAAUUUAAGGGGAACACUUAAAGGAAAAAGUCUUAAUACACUUCUUAUGGGAAAGAUACAGAUAUUUCUGUCUCACUCAGGCCAAAGGGGCCAAAAGCUUUUAUGUUAGAGUUGAGAGUGAGACCAUCCUGUCUUAUAAGGAGAUGCUGCCUUUUCACUAUAGCCCUCCCAAAUAUUAGGGUUACUAGAAAAUGUUACUCUGAGAAUCACACAUUUAAUUUCACUCCACACAGCCCUUUUAGGAAAUUCUACUAAAACACAAAUUCAUGGAACAUCAAACAAAAAUGUGAUAUUGCAGAAAUUUUCAACUUCCGUAAAAUACACAUAAUACAAUGUCGUUUAAAGUCUUUCCGUCUCCUAGUUAUAUUGUGAAACAUAAGAAAAACAUACUGUUAGCUCGUCCAAUGGAGAAGAAACCCCACCAUCCCUGUAACUACAUACCCUAACUGCCACCACUCAGGCAGAAAACAUAGCCCAAGUUGAUGCAUUAAGGUCCCCUGAGGGUAAGAAAGGACACUAACACUACCGUGACUACCACUUCCCCUUCAGAUCUAAGGGCUUAAAGAGAAGAGACAACCAUGGAUUCUGUGGUCAACACUCCCAAGAAUGACAGAGACCUUCCCAGUUUUUCAGUGGUCCUACUUUAAAAACCCAUCCCCCAUGUCCAUAAAAUGGGAUAGAACUUGUAUAGAAGGGGCUAACCAUUCCCUCCCACCACCUACACCAACUGUCAACCAACUGCCACCAAAGGGAAGAUCAAUGCUCAGCUUAAGUCACUAGAAUCAUAAUGCUUUUCAUCUAGAGCAAUAGGCUUAUCAUUCUCUUUCAGUGGAGGAGCUCUGUGUUACCAGAGCUCUGGGAAAAGGGGCAGCCAUCCUUAUCCCUAUUAACACGAACUAUUAAAUAACUGUCACUGUUCAGAUAAAGAAGGGAGGCUGGUUAAAUCAACAAAGGAUUCAGAGGGCUUGGAAGGUGGCAGAAGCUCACAGACCACCUCCUCCCCUCCCCUAAGUGGCUGAAAUCACCAGCAGAUGCAUCCUACAACUCCUGAAGGAGGGAACUGAGAGCCUUUCUACAGUUCUAGGAAUCUCAGAUGAGUCCCCAACUUUGUGGGAUAAAAUCCAGCAGGAAUUCUCCACUUAAAUAAACAAAACUGGAAUCAGAAAAUGAGAGUGAAGAAAAGUAGUGGUUUAUUCCUUUCAUGAAAGGAGGCACUCCAGCUUUGGACUUAGAAGUGCAAAUUGGCUAGGCACAGACAGGCAAUAUAUAGGUCCCUAAGCACAAGAUACCCCCACUUUCCCCUCCCUUUGUCGUGUCAAUUUCCUAUCUUGGGGUCUUGACUUAUAGUCUACAACACAUGGGCUCUAACUCAGGUUCAAAGAAUGGUGAGGUGCCAAAGUACACAAAGGAAGAGUUACAGUUAACAUUUCUUUUAAUAUUCUUAAGAGAUAAAGAAGCAACUGAGUUGUUUAUUGCCCUUGAGUUGGGGGCCCUCUGUGUCUUAUCAGUUCCUUUUCCCAGGCCUGUCCAGUAGCCGUUUAGAUAAACAGUCAACAAAAGGCAGCAAACUAGCCUUGCACAUCCCUUUCCCAAGUUGGGGUAUUAGCUGGGUGUUUUUGCCUUGAGAAUAUUGGGGUAUGGUGGGGGUAAGCCAAAUGCUCAUUUUGAGAAUAAUGUACUUAUCUCACAGGCACAUUUUGACCCUGCUCAACUCAAUUAAAUUAAAAUAGUGAUAUGCUAGAGUUACAAAGUUGAAAAAUGAUCUAGAAUCUCAAAUUGAAUGUAUCUUAAAGAUAUUCAGUAUGUUAUGAGAAAAAACAAACUCAACAGUUUUGUUGCAAUGAAUCUGUUGGAAAUGACCUUUGGAAAAGGUAGAAAAUUGACCUUCAGUGUCAUCUAGUUGAAUCAUCUUUCAUUUUGGAGAUCAGCAAAGGACAUGAAAGCAACUUACACACAAUCCUAACAAUCUAAGUUAGCCUCUGAACAAAGAGAGAAUCUGCUUACUUGCUCAAGUGCUUUCUCUCUCAUUUCUACAUAUAGAAAUAUAGAUAAACACAUCAAAGAAAUUUAAUAUUUUGUUAUUCAAAAUAGCAUCCCUAAAGGGAAAUAGCACAUGAAAUUGAAAUUCUCUAUUAUAUAUGUUUGCUUGGACAUUUCACAUACAUAAACUCAAUUUUUGACUUUCCAAAAUGUCUUGUAGGUCAGUGUUUUCUUUUGGUCUUGCAUCUGUGUUCCUUUGUGCAAUUUAAAAACUGCUUCAAUGAUGUUUUUCUUCUUACCUGUGUUUUUUGGCAACUCUGCUAAUCUGCCAGAAUAACUUCCCCAAUAAGAACGCUAAUCCAUAGCAAAUCACUCCAUAACCCACUAAUCCAAAUAUACCUACAAAACCAAAAGAUAAGGGCUUUCCCUUUCCAAUGGAGUUAUGCUCCUUAACAAUAAUGGGUCUUUCCAUUACUAUUCAGAUAAAGACUUUGUCAAUGAAAGAGCUUUCUCAGAACCAGAGAGAGAGUUUGAGGGUCUAGUAGGAGUGGGAACUUCAAGAGCUGCGGAAGAAAAAAUUAUCAGUAUAGGUGUAAACUGCAAAAGGAGAAAGAGAAAGUAGCACUAAAGCUGUGGCAGAGAGGGAAGGGAGAGAUUGAGGAAGUGCCACAGAAACUUGUAUCUACCUCUUCUGAGACUGAGGGAAAGGCUAAGAGAGGGUCUUCUCUUUCCCCAACUUGAUAUCCUGGUACCUGCCUUGAGAUGGUUCUGUACUCUUCAUGUGUCUCCUGCCUCACCAAGCUACUGGCAUGGACUUCUUUCCUGGUUGCUCCAGAAAGCUUGGUUUUUAUUCAUCAGACCCCUGGACCUUACUUCUACCACUGUUUGUUGUACAUUAAUGUAUGGGGAUAGGGCAGAAGGUGGUAGGUAUUUGGCUAAAGAGAAAAACUAUCUACUGCCUCUCACUGACCUCUACCUUUUUGUAGACAGAAUCACUCUUUCCCAAAUCUGUCCUUCAGGUGAUCCUAAAUGUGUGACUUUGUUUUUAAUUUUAAUCAUUGCCAUUGCCUCAAAGAGGCAUGAAGAAUGAAGCCCUUUAUCCUGUCCCAGAGAGGAUUUAUCCUGUGCCAGAGAGGCAGAGGACAUGCUAGAAAUAACUGAAUUAGUGAGCAUCUUUCUCUAGUUCCUACUUGCUGAAAGCUUCCUUCCACAGCUUUACUGUUGCUUAUCAUUGUCCAGGCAUUGCUUAAAGCCAUUGGUCCCAAUUCAUUCUUGUCUAAUGCUUUGGGAGCAGGAAUUUUAACAAUAAGUAUUUAAUAUCAUUUAUUGAGCCCCAAACUGAUACUAUACUCAAUAAUUUCAAAAGUAGUUGUGUUUUUUCUGUGGACAUAUUUUAAAAUAGCUCUUAUGUUAAAUAUUUUAUUUUUUCCUAUUAUACACACACAGAGAAACAUAAACCAGAUAAUAUCUAGGAGAAGUUAGGUUCUCCUACCAAUGAAUGGCAAUAAAAAUACAGGGAGAAAGGAGAUAUUUAAAUAAAUGAAACAUGAGCUACCCUGGUCAGCCAAAGAAUGUCAAAUAUGAGACAAAAUUUGGGGAGUGGGGGAAGAACUUCAGAGGAUUCUAGGAUCAGAGGAUUAUAGAUUUAGAGCUGGAAGGGACUUUAGAGGCUAUCAAGUCAACCCUUUUAUUUUACAGAUGAGGAAAUUCAGGGUUAGAGAAGCCAAGAACCUUACUUCAGUCACAGAGUGGACAAUUGGCAUAAGCAGUAUUUGAAAUCUGACCUUGCUAACUCUAAAUCCAAUCCACUGUGAAAGCAGAACACUUAUUUCUCCAUUCUGGAUGAGCUCCUACUAAUCUCUCAUUAAAAAGUUAUAGUGUCUUCAUUUUCCUCAGGUUAAUUAAGGCAAGAGCAGAAAGAGAACUGAUGAGCUCUUGAGAUUUUCUUUUUUUUUCUUCUUUAGCGGAAGACUCAAGGACUUAUGGCUAAUAGAUGCCACAAUGAAACUGGUUGGACAAGAAGACUCUGGCUAGCAAGGCCUGGCAACAGAAUCUCUUACUUCAGUGGUCAAGUAUUUACUUCAAGUUGCUUUACGUCUGAUGUCUUCUAGUUCCAUCUCCUCCCAGUCUGGAUAGUUAUUUUUAAAAAACAACUUGAUUUUGGGGGAUUGCAUUCUUAACAAAGAUCCUCUUUAUGUGAGUUAUUGCCCCUUCCUCGAGCACAUUCAUGCUUAGGAAUGUCUCAGCUACUUCUGUGAUUCUAUCUAAAAAAGGCUGUAGGUGUUUCUGUGAUCUUUUGCUUUAUGGAUUCAAAUUUUGACCAGACGUUUGGUCUUUUAGUGUGUCUUCCCAUGACCUCAAUAAUUGCUUGCCUAUGCUCCUUCAUUCUGUUAUAUUGUACUUUGCUAUUCAUAUCCUCAGGGUAAUGCCCUGACCAUGAUGAUAGAAUGGGGUCCUCCCUAGUCUUAUCAAUAAAUCAGUUACGCUCUCUCUUUGUCAAUAGCUCCUUCAUCAAUAAUGCACAGCCAUUGUAGUCUGGAUCAAAUAAAUCUAUUGCCCUCUUCAUCUCUUUUAUUACACAGUUGGGUUCUUCCACAAAGCUAGGGGUUCUUCUUUUUAUGGACUCCAAGACCUCUGGGGUGACUCUCUUAUGUGUUUUGACUUGAAAUAUCUCAUCCUUUGCAACUACAGGGAGAUCUCUUAGUGGACAUAGAGUAACCAUCCCUGCAGCCUCUUCCUGUUGUAAUCUGUUGAGAUUUUUCAUUUUCCCAGUGUUUACAUUAUUCUCAUACCCAUAUUCUAUGUUUAUAACUUUGUGUUCUCUUAUAUAUAAUUCCAUCUGAUCAAGUUGGUUAUUUCAUUUGUAUCACCAUCAUUUUAAGUUCUGAAUCCUUAGUUACCUAGAUCACAAUUGCCUUUAACCAUUUGCCAGUGAAAAAGAAAGCCACUCUACUCCUGUACAAGAUAUACGGAUAUACAGGUAAUAUGAGGAUAUAUGAUAAAAUAGUUUUCACCUUGAUAUCCAUAACCGGUUUCAUCCAUUGGUAUUCCAGAGUCAUUGCACAAACAUUGGGAAAUAAUACAAAGUGUAAGGGAUGUGCAGAAUGCACUCCCACAAUACCAUUAAAAUGUCAAUUACCAUGUCUCCAGACAUGUUUACAUUCAUUACUAAUAGUUUGUAUACAAGUGGAUUAGUAUUGUUAUACUCCACUGUGAACCAUUUUUUUAAACAAACACCCUUUAAAAUAAAAAAUUUGAAAAAAAUUUUUCCCAAUAUGGCUAGUCACCUAGAGCAUGUGACAAUAGCUGUUUAAGUUUGCCCAGAGUCUUAGAAUUCCACUGCCCACCCCCUUUGGAAUGUACCACUCCACUGAGUGACUUUAGAAUGUUCAAACUAAUUGACCCUAUCUAACUAUAUAAAUUUAAAAAAAAACCAUAAAAUUUAGGUUUUAUAGCCUACCUGGCUCAGCCAACUGAAAUGGUAUAAUUAGAUUGAAAGGGUUUUAGGGAAGAAACACAAGGGGAAUAACAUUUAAAUAUUUUGAUUUUAUUUAGCAGUGAGGAGGAAGGGAGAAAGAAGAAGAGAUAAGGGAGAAAUCUUAACUUCUUUUACCCAACAAAUAUAUAUACUAUCUGACUUAGUCUAUCUAAUUUCUAAGUUAUCUAAAGGCAAAGUCUAUCAGGGACCAGUAUCUUACAAGAGUCCUUGGUGAGCAAAAUCCAAGAAUCCCAGAAGAUAUGUUCACAAAUGGUAUUUCCCCAGUUGUAUCAGCUUCUCAAUCUCUGUCCAGCAGAAGACUGAAGUCUGACUUCUUAUCCACAGCCAGAAGAGAUAUUCACAGGCUUGUAACCUGAAAGAUGAUCCUCAAAGUUUCUUCAGAAAAAACACCUGUUUCCUUUCUCUCCCAGAUUCAGAGAGACUGUCAGUUGCUCAAUUGUCCCUCAGGGAUUCCACUUCACCAGGCUCCAGGAAAGAUUCUGAUCUCAUGCAUUUGUUAAUCAUUCUUAUGCACUAAGCAUUACUUCCCAUUGCAACAAACCACAUCUCAUUGUAGUCUUUGUUGCUUAGGCUAGCUUCUAGGGCUUCUCAGCCCUCAGCACUCUUGCCUUUUUUUUUCUUCGAAGGCACCCCUUUUCCACAUCCUCAUGGAUGGUAGGAAUUAAGUAUUGACCUACAAUCUCUUGGCUUUCCAAGUUGACAAUCAGUGGUGAGCCCUUUGUUAUAACUACAAACCAGUCACACACAGACAUUUUACACAGGCAUGCACACAUGCACACAAAGAGUCACAUGCAAGUUAGUUGGGAGAGUUGCAUCUUUAGAAUGGUAAGAUCAUUCAGACCAUGCCUAAGUCUAAGUCAGUGAUCUGACAUCUGAGACAGAAGAGUAUCAACAAAAAACCCCAAAACAAACAAAAAAUAACCAAAACAAACUAAUUUGACUAUCAGUAUAUGUCUGACUUCUAAAUCAAAUAAGAAAAGAGGAACAGGCAUGGAAUUAGGACUGGGAAACUCCAGUUUCUUUAGUCAUGUAGCUACCAACCUAGUACUUGGGGAGCUCUUUUUCUAGAUACACAUAAAGUGCUUUCCAUUCAUCUUCAUCUAUCUCAUCGUUCUAGAUUAAAUCCAGUGGUCCUGAUGUCACCAUAUGCUUUGGGAAGUUUUAGAAAGAUGGGGUCUGAGAUUUAGCCAUGAUGAGAGCUUUACUUGUCUCCAGUACUAGGAAUGAUGGUGCAAAGGCAUAAAGUGGAUUUGAUUUUUUAAAAUAGAAAUCUACAUAAAAGCACAUUCUACUGUCAGUGUGUAUUUGGGCUUGGAAUCUCCCAUGUAUAGCUAAAGACCUCCUUCAGCUCUCAAAUUGUGGGUUGUGGAUCAAACUGUUCUAAAAAAUCCAACUUCCUAGUAUCACCAGGAAAGUUAUCCAAGACUUAGAGUGGAAAAAAAGAAAAAGAGAAAAAGGUUCAGAUAACUUUAUCAGAAAUUUGAUCCAUUAAAAUGUGGAGAAUUAUUAUGAAACAAGAAGAAAUGCUUUUUUCUAAAGAUGGUACACAUAUAGCUCUUGGUAAAGUGAUCAUUCCUGCAUAGCGUAGUAGGCUUCUUUUAAUGGAAUCCUUUAUUCUAAGAUUAUAAAAAUGCCUGCUCUUAGGAAAUACCUGAGUUUAGACUCUUCAGCCCUCUGGUAUGAUGUCUAGCUUGGAUCUUUGCUUCUUGCCUUCUGCUUUAACAGGAGCAACCCAACAAUCCAUUGCAUGAAGCAAGUAAGAUCCUCAAGACCUCAAUAGCUAAUACUGUUCAUAUCAUGUCUCAUUACCUAUUGGCCUCAUUCAGCCAUUCUGUACUGAUUCUAGAAAUGGAGAACUUGCGUUGGCAGUUGUUUUGAGUCUGUCCUCCUAUCUUGUGUCUAAAUACUUGAGCACUCUUUGGUAGCCCCUCUUCUCCAGUUCUAAGUCUAGCUCUCUUCUGCCUCUGUGAGGAAGCUAGAAUUGGAAUCUUGACAAAUAAGAUACUACCUACUGGUCAUUUACCCAGGACCACCAGAAUGAGAUUCAAGCAACAGUGAAAAUAAGAUUUUCAACUGCCCAGGAAAGGAUUAAAUGAGAGGAUAAGUGAAGACGGGAGAAGUACAAAGAGAAAAGAAGAGAGGAAUGAGGAUGGGGAGAAACAAGGGUAAACAGAGUAGAGAGAAGGGGAGAGGAGAGAAAGGGAUAAAAGUAAGGGAGGAGAGAGAAAAGGGGUGGAAGGAUGAGAGAAGGGGGAGGGGGAGAAGAAGAAAAGGAGUAAGAGGGAUAGAGAGGAGAGGAUUUGUUUGCUAAAGUUAUUUAUAUGAGAUAUAAAGUAGUGACCUACAAACAUUUUAUUCUGCUGUUUUUCCAACGUAGGCCAAUUUUUAGCCCUUCCUAGCCAUCCUUUAGACAGCAUCACUUGGGGGCUCACUACUAGCUUGGUACCAGAUAUAAUGCAGACUCCUGAUCACCUUCAAGACUGUUGUGUUCUGAAAUGCCAAUUUAAGCUAACUUUCUCCAGUAGCAGAAAUUACAGACAUGUGCUACAACAUGAAGUACAUGCCAAAAAUAUGUGGGUAAACAAAGCUGGCAAGUAAAGAAACUUCUAAGUAAUUUAGUAAAACAAUUCUAGAGAUGAAUAAAAUGCACUCUAGAGUUCUACAAGUCAGAGAGUGACUUAAUGCACCAAUUCUACUGCAUGGGAAGGUGAACUGGCUGGUGCAAAUGUACCAGUUUGAGAUUAUUCUUCACAGUGACUCAAUCCAUAGAGGGGAGAGUGUACUCCCAGAUUAAGAGGAUUGGGAGAGGGGGUUGUACUUUUGUUUCUGCCAAACCUCAGCAAAUAACCCUUUACUAAAGCUAAAACAUACUGGGGAGAACACAAAAGAAGGUAGGCUUUAGCCAAUAGCAUUAUGAAAGACACUCAGCUCUGAAAUUGUAAAUAUACUACUUAUAAAUAUUAUCUGACUUAACUUGGUUAACUGUUAGGUUCAGGUAUGAUGUUUAGGCCUAGUACUCAGGUUUGGGGAAGGGUAGCCAAGCUCAGGGUAGGCAGAGCCAGAUCCUGAGCUAAUAAACACAAACAAAAUAUAUAAACACUGGACAGGUGGGUUUAAUACACAGAGGAAAGGUGGAAAGGGGACAUGGGAUUUUUCUAAUCUAAUUUAAUCUAUCAAUCUCCACCAGAUCUAAUAAUAGCUGUUAAGGGAUUUCUUCUUGGAAAAUUCCCUGCUCUAUUUCUCCCUAACCCAAAUCUGUAAUCCCUAAUCUUGACUAACCCUCUACUAUACACCCCUUUUAUAGAAUUAAGGAAAAGGGUCGUGUAAGGAUUUGCUUACAUAAUACAUAACACCACUUUGGACUUUAGUUGAAAAUCCCAUAGGGUAUCCAUAAAACAACUCUAUAAAUCACCUCCAGUACUUCCUGUAACAUGGUUGUUACCAUGCAGGAAUAAUGGGGAUUCAAUAUUGUAUAUAAUAUAGGUUGGAUAAAGUUUGUUGCCACCUUGACAGAAAAAAUUUUUUUUCUUUACCAAAGAUGCUCAUGGUUCAGCACUUGGACAGAGGUAGCUCUUUAACUCCGCCCUUUAACUCUUGGCUGUCAGUCAAGUUCCCUAAGGCACUUCAGCUCCUCAGGGUCCCCUAUAAUACACAGAGAGAAAUGUAACCAAAUUUAUAAUCUAAGGAUUAGUUGCAACAGUGAAAAUUGAGAGAAGAUUCUCCAGUCUGUAUGUGCUACAUCAUUAAAUUUUUAGUACACUAGCAACAGUACAACCAUUCCCAAAUGAUAUCCACAGAGUCUAGUUCAAGUGCUAGGGAGCAGGGGCAGGUGGGUUAGUCCUCUUCUAGCCUUGGACAAGGGAAAGUACACUCUGACUUUGUAGCUUCCAUUGCACUCUCAUGCUUCAAACAAAGAACAAUAGGCUAUACAGAAACAGGGCCAAUUGCAAGUAUUUAUGAGAGAUGAUCUUAAAUCGGAUAAAUGUAAUUUUGAAUAGAAUAAAAAAUAAAGUGGAUAUGAGAUAAAGACCAUUGAAGGCCAAAGACUCGCUGAUGCUGCCAUGGGAUAGCGGCCACCAGUCUCUUCUCAUUCUUUUUCAUUUGCAGCUCAACACCCUUGUCUUAGGGCUGAUCACUUGCUAGUGUCCUCUCAGUCCAAGAUGGGAACAACAGUAGCCAGAAGGGUCUUGUGGCCACCAAUGCCAGGCCAGAGGUCGUUAGAUUAUAUUGCUCCAGGUUUGGUUUCUGAGGGAAUGAUACGAGUUGUACAGUUUUUUGAGGAGUGUUGGGCACAGCACAAUUUAAACCACAGGACUUGGUGGUUGCAUAGCCUUUUAGCCUUAUCUUGAAAGGCCAUGUGCCUACUGAUUGCAGUUGGAUUGGGGGUGAGUGUUGAGAAAGGAGACAAGCAUCGUGGGAUUUGUCACUUCAGAAACUAUUUCCUUUUCCCAAAGGCUUCACUCCAAAAAGAAAAUCUAUAUCACAAUUUCCUAUAGUUUAGCUAUAAAGCACAAACAAGGUAUCUAGUCACAAGGAUUUUGUGGAUGCUCAUCUCCCUACAUAGAAGGAAGAAGAGAGGAAUGAAAGAAACAUAUGGGCCAGUUACACGAAUAAGCAGCGACAGUGCAAUCAGAUUCAUACCAACAGUUUCACCUUUCAGGGAAAGAGUUGGAAUGCCAUCUGGUUAAAUCCCCUUUCAUUUUAGAGAUGAGCAAAGGGCAGCCCAGACAAAGGAAGCAGCUUUCACACUUCCCUGACAUUGUACAUUUAUUUGCCCCUGAAUAUUGGGAGAAUCUGUUCAUGGAAUUCAACUGUUCAGUUUCAGUUUUCUUGUUAUCAAUGCCUAGCAUAGGCAUGGUACCUUAUAGAUGAUGAAUCCAUAUUUUAUUUUUUUUAUUCUUAACAAGAACAACAAAAAUAAAAUUAAAAUUUUUUAUGCAAAAGAGAACCUCAAAAGGAAGACAGUCCAUGAAACUGAAAAUCUCUAUUAUGUAUUCUUCCUUUCUUAAAAAUGUACAUAACAGAUUCAACAUUUAACCUUUCAAGCUGUCCUAUUUGUGUUUUCUUCUGGCCUUACAGAUAUGUAUUUUGUGCCAUUUAAAAAAUGCUUCAAUGACCUUUCUUUACUUUUCUUAGCAAUUCUGUUACCACACCAAAAUGGUUUUCCAUGGUACCCACCAAUAUAAAAUACACUGAACAUCCCAUGAUUCACUAGCACAGACACAACAACCACCCACAAAACCAAAAGACAAGGGCCCUCCCCUGUCAAUGGAGUUAUGCUCCUUAAGAAUGAUGGCCCUUCCUAUUACCACUCAGAUAAAGAAUAGGCUUUGUCAUGAAAGAGCCUCAGAACCAGAGAGAGAUUUUGAGGGUCUUACAGGAGACAGGAAGGGGAGGGGGACUUUAAGAGCUAACCCCAAAAGAAUGAACGGCUUGGCAACCUGCAAAAGGAGAAAGAGAAAGUAUCAUUGAGCUGUGGCAGAGAGAGAAGGGAGAGACUGAGCAAGAGUCAUGGGCCCUACCUGCAACUCAGAGCAGGGACUCAGGCUGCUGUGGCCACUUGUGCCCACCCUCCUCAAGAACUGAAGGAAGGAAGGGUCAAGAGAAGGUCUCCUUAAUCAACUAGGUGUUUGCCAUGUGGCAGAAGCCUGUGUCAGCAGAAUGAAUCCAGUAUCCUGAAUCUGGCCUCAAACAGAAAGAGGCCAGGAGUCAUCAGGAAAUAUAAAUGCUCCAUGGGGCAGAGGCUCAAACUUUUGCCUACGUGUUAGGAAUUUUCCUGUGUGGGGGCUUGCUGAGUUUGUGAUAGUAUUCAGAACUUUCCCUUUAAUGUAAACUGCCUACGACAGCAGAGGAGGGAACAAGUUAAACAUUAGAGCCUAUCAUAUUCUAGAAUUAAAAUGAGUUAAUGAAUCAUACAAAGAUGCAUCAUUUUUAAGGCAAAUGGCAACAGAUUUAUUGGCUACUAGGGGUAUGGCUUAAUGUAGGAAUUAGUCUGAGCAUUCAUGGCCUAAACCUAUCUCGGUUCUCUUGAUCUUCCUAUGUUAACACAUUCUAAUGUCUACAAGCCAAGGAAACCCAUAUCUCAUUCUUUCCUUUUUCCAUGAGCUACCUAGUUUCCAUGAACCAACCUUUUCCUGUAUGUUUUUUGCAUAACUUCCUAAUGCCAGAUCCAUCUUGCCUUGCUAUGACAAUUAAAAAUUCAAAGAGACUGGGUUAUAGGUAAUAAAAUCAAUUUAUUGAUCAGACUAUCAACCAAUAAAUUAAUUGGUCAGUGAACUCUCUUGGUGGCCAGAGAUGAAGAUAUACAGUAUCUUGAGUCUUUAAAUAUAAUUUUGAGACUCAUUAUUCAAUCUUCCCCCUAGACAGUCCAGGACCUCUCUAAUUGGAAUAUAGCUAAUGAGGAGAUGGGCCAGCAUUCUUUCAAGCCAAUGGAAAUCACACAUCCAAUUCUAGGAUUACAAUAUCUAGAAGAAGAAAUCAAGUCACAUUCACUUAAGAGUGAUUUCAUUCAUUACUUUUCCAUGCUAGACUCAAGGACAUUUUCCUGCUGCCCACAGCCAUACCUGGCCUAAACUAUAUCUUGUUUACUAGGUAGGAUAGCACACAAAAUUCUACUUUUCAAUUACCCCCAAUUAGAAGAUGCUCUAAGGUAAGGGAUGUGAAGAGCAUUCAUUGGGUUUAUUAGGACCAAAGGAAUGAAGAACAAAGUUUGAAGGACAAGUGUGAUACUCAAAAGAAAUAAUUAAAUAUGAGAAAUAAAACUUCUCACUGGGUUAUAUCACCUCCCUUACAUCCUGCUCUUCCACACUGCUCUUCCACUCCAUCUUCUGGUUCUUUAUGUCUAGGCUGGUUCUCAUUGAGGUUCACUUCUUCUCUAGGUCAAAUGCAGGUCAUAUUUGCCUGUGAACCUGCAAAUCUUUUCUAAUUUCCUAUUUUAUUAUUAGAAAUAUAAUUAAAAAUGGGCUUUGUUGGACUUAGUGACCCGGUUCCAACCUAACAGGCUACAUUGUAGUUAAUAGAUUAUUAGCUUGGAAGCACCAUGAGUCUAUUAUAAGGAGUUUUUUAAAUUUCACUCUGUCACAUUAAGAGCAGAAUUUUUAUGUUAGAGGGAGUUACUUAAUCUCACUCUGUUGCUUUACCAGACAGUAAUAGAGAGUUUGGCCCUCUGUCUCUUUAAGGGACCAACUAUUUAAAAAAAAAAAAAAAGGAAACAGAUCUUAUUUGGCUCCUAGUGGCCGGUGAUGCUGGAUGCUUGGUGGACACUGAGAGUGACAUGAUAGAGGCUUGGAGCCCUUGUUUUAAGCCCAGGUUGUCUUUGGAUCUAAAUUGCGAUCCAUGUCUAGAAAUUACUUGAUAAUGUUAAUCAUGAAGAAGAUUAAGAUAUUAGGAAUAAACUUUGAAAUUCCAGGGUAAUCUCCAGGCAUAUCAGGGAUGAGAUGGUAUAGUUGAGUUACUUUGUCUUUAAUGGGUAUAGAAGCUCCUGCUUCAUCAACUACUGGCUCAGUCCUCUGUCCUAGUUGAUCCAGAAAGCUUGGUUGUUAUUGAUCAGUCCCCUGGACCUUCCCUCAACUGCAAUUUGUUGUACUAUCAGUAUAUAGAGGUCGGGAAGAAGGUAGUGUUUGGCUGCAGAAGAAAAUUAUCUCUCACUGGCCCCCAGCCUUCUGUGGAGUCACUCUUUUCUAGAUCUGUCCUUCAGGUGAUCCUGUAUAGUUUUAAUUUUAAUCAUAGCCUCCACUCUAUACUAAAGGGGCAAAAACAAUGAGGUCCCUUCCUCUGCCCCAGAGAGAAUAAUAAGGCAGAGGACAUACCAGAAAGAACUGAAUUAGAACUUUUCUCUAGCUCGUAUUUACCAAACCUCCUUUUGCCGAGUAAAGCUAUUUAUUCAUUGCACAGACUUGCUUGAUUCUUUUAACUGUUUGGGGAAAGUGUGUGUGUGGGAAUUUAAUAAUGUGCUUCUAAUGUUUCUGUUUGACUCAUUGAGCCCCGUUGUAAUAAUACCUUAGAUGUUUUAUUUCUUCCUAGUAAACACACAUACACACACACACACACACACACACAAAUAAUAUCUUUGUUCUCCUAACAAAGAAUAAUCGAGUUCUCCUGAGAAGCUAGGUUCUCCUGACAAAGAAUGGUAAUGAAAAUACAGAGAGAAAGGAGGUAUUUAAAUAAAUGAAACAUAACCUACUGUGGCUUACCUAAAGAGAGCCCAAGAAAGAUGAGCAGGGGGAGAAACUUUCAGAUGAUUCUAGAAUCAUAAUAUAGAUUUAGACCUGAAAGGGACUUUAGAGGCCAUCAAGUCAACCCUUUUAUUUUACAGAUGAGGAAAUUGAGGCUUAGAGAGGCUAAAAGAACUGACUUCCAUCAUGGAUUUAGCAACUGGCAGAAGCAGCAUUUGAAAUAUGGCCUUUGUUGACUCUAGCUCCAGUCAUCUAUCCACAGUGAAAACCCAUUCUGGAUGGGUCUGAUAAGUUUCAGUCUUCACUUUGCUCAGGUUAAUUAAAGCAGGAGGUCUGGAGUUUUUCUUUUCUUUUUUCCUUCUUCCUGUUUUUGCAGAAGAUUCAGAAUUAUAUAGUUAAUAGAUGCCACAAUGGAAAUGGCUUGUCAAGGAGACUUUGGCUGACAAGACCUGACAGCAGCAUCUCUUACCUCUACCAGCAUCUCAUUGCAGUCUCUCUUGCAUAGGGUGUGAACUUCUGGAGCUUCUCAGCCCUCAGGACCCUUCCCUUUAUCUCUGAAGGCAUUCCAUUUCCAAAUUCUGGUGGGGACUGAUCAUCAACUUACAAUCUAUAGGUUCUCCAAGAUGACAACCACUAGUAAGCCCCUUGUUACGUUCUCAAAAGACACAGGCAUAUACACAUAUAUAAAUACACAUGCAAGGCAGUCAGGAGACCUGUUUUCAGAAUAAUAAGAUUAUUCAAACCAUGCACAAGUCAGUGAUUAGACAUCUGAGGCAUACAGGAGAAUACAGGCAGAAAAUUAAUCUGAUUGUAUCAGCACAGAUCUGCCUUCUAAAUCUAGUCAGAAAAGAGAAAAUAUUCAUGGAAUAUGGGUAAGUCUGGGAGAAUCUAAUCUAUACCUAUUCUGUGGUCAAAGAGGUACUAUCUAGUACAUUGGAAGUUAUUUUUUGAGAUGCCCAUGAAAGAUUUUACAUUCAUAACCAUUCCAUUUCAUCUUGCUAAUUGAGACCUAGGUCCCUCGACUGAUGUGGCUCUAUGUUUUGGGAAGUUUUGGAAGUACGAGGUCAGGAAAGAUUUAGCCAUAAAAAGAGUUCUCCUUGGCUCUAGUGCUGUUCAAAGGGCUUGAUGUGAAUUUGGGUCUUAAAAACAUGAAUCUACACAUAAUUAUGGAUUCUGGUGUCAAUUUAUUCAAACUUGAGUUCUUCAUAUGUUUCUAAAAACUUACAUUGAACUCUGAAACUGUGAAUUAUGGAUUAACUCUAUUUGAAAAACCAAUUCUCACCGUCCCCAGGAGUUAUCCAAGAUUAUUAUGUGAAUAAAAACUAAGUCCAGAGAAUUUUCCAGAAUCUUGGCCCACAAAAAAAUUUGAGGAACCAUUAUGAAACCAGAAAGCAUUUUCUAAAAGAAUAUGCACAUUACCCUCCUUCAUGGAGUGGUAGACUUCUUGCCAAGGAAUCCUCUAUUUCAGAUUAUAAAAAUGUUUACUCUUGGGAAGUACUUGAAUUUAGAUUUGCACACAACUCUUCCCACCCUCUGGUAUGAUAACUAGCCUGGCUCCUUGUUUCUUGCCUUUUAUUCUAGUGGUAGCCUCCCAAUAACUCAUCAAAUGAGAGAAACAAGACACUAAAAAAAAUCCAUAUCUAAUGUUGCUCAGCAUGAUGUCUCUUCAGCUGCUGGUCUCAUUCCAUAUUGAUUCUGGAACCUAAUAUUUUACGUUAUAAAUUUUAAAAUAACCCAUUCCCCCUACCUUGUACCUUAUUACUUGGGCAAUCUUUUUUCUUCCACCUAAGUCCUGUUCUCCUCUGUAUCUGUGUAAGACAUUAGAACUAGAAUUCUAUAUUAAAAAUAGUCCUUGUUGUUCUUCUACUCAUGGUUACUAACUAGGAUGAGACCCAGGCAACAGUAAAACUGAAAUUCAGUUGCCCAAGAUGGGCUAAAAUAUGGGUAGAAGAGAGCAAAGAGAGAAGAGUGAGGGGGAGAAUCCAGCAUAAUCAGAGAGAAAGCUAAGGGAGGAGAGGGGAAGAGAGGGAAGGGAAGAGGAGAAAAGGGAGGAGAAUAAUAAGAGAAGUAGACUCAACAAUCACAACAAUUACAAUCAGAGAAUAAAAUACUUCCUGCCUGUAUACAGUUGAGUGGAAUAUGAAAUAAAGAUGUUAUUAAAGCAAA